GGAUUAGUGGUCGAGUUGGUUAAGACAUAGCUCUUUCAAUGCUAUAUUCGCGGGUUCGAGCCCCGCCUAGUCUA